rnacentral:rRNA from 1 species
GAUGAACGCUAGCUACAGGCUUAACACAUGCAAGUCGAGGGGAAACGACAUCGAAAGCUUGCUUUUGAUGGGCGUCGACCGGCGCACGGGUGAGUAACGCGUAUCCAACCUGCCCAUCACUUGGGAAUAACCUUGCGAAAGUAAGACUAAUACCCAAUGACAUCCCACGAAGACAUCUGAAUGGGAUUAAAGAUUUAUCGGUGAUGGAUGGGGAUGCGUCUGAUUAGCUUGUUGGCGGGGUAACGGCCCACCAAGGCAACGAUCAGUAGGGGUUCUGAGAGGAAGGUCCCCCACAUUGGAACUGAGACACGGUCCAAACUCCUACGGGAGGCAGCAGUGAGGAAUAUUGGUCAAUGGGCGAGAGCCUGAACCAGCCAAGUAGCGUGCAGGAUGACGGCCCUAUGGGUUGUAAACUGCUUUUAUAAGGGAAUAAAGUGGGUCUCGUGAGACUUUUUGCAUGUACCUUAUGAAUAAGAACCGGCUAAGUCCGUG